rnacentral:rRNA from 1 species
GGGUUGUGAGGUUAAGCGACUAAGCGUACACGGUGGAUGCCCUGGCAGUCAGAGGCGAUGAAGGGCGUGCUAAUCUGCGAUAAGCGCCGGUAAGGUGAUAUGAACCGUUAUAACCGGCGAUACCCGAAUGGGGAAACCCAGUGUGAUUCGUCACACUAUCAUUAACUGAAUCCAUAGGUUAAUGAGGCGAACCGGGGGAACUGAAACAUCUAAGUACCCCGAGGAAAAGAAAUCAACCGAGAUUCCCCCAGUAGCGGCGAGCGAACGGGGAGGAGCCCAGAGCCUGAAUCAGCAUGUGUGUUAGUGGAAGCGUCUGGAAAGGCGCGCGAUACAGGGUGACAGCCCCGUACACAAAAGCGCAUAUGCUGUGAGCUCGAUGAGUAGGGCGGGACACGUGGUAUCCUGUCUGAAUAUGGGGGGACCAUCCUCCAAGGCUAAAUACUCCUGACUGACCGAUAGUGAACCAGUACCGUGAGGGAAAGGCGAAAAGAACCCCGGCGAGGGGAGUGAAAAAGAACCUGAAACCGUGUACGUACAAGCAGUGGGAGCCCCACCACUAAGCCAGUGGUGAA